ACGUCUGGAAAACCUUCAUCUUCUUCCUCCUCCCCACCUUCAUGACAUCCAUGGCUGCCCUCCUUCUUCUUCAACAAGAAACCACUCAAAACCCUAGUUUAAAAGCACCCCAUAAACCACCAUAACCAUCUGUUCGUCGUCAACCCUCCCAAACGAGCUCAACCUCACGUCGAACCACCAUAGCUGCUUCGUCCAUCCCUUCCUCCAGUCCGUCGGCGACGGUCGACCACUGUCACGACC
rnacentral:lncRNA from 1 species